GCUUAUCACCAUUCCAGAUUGAAUAUACCCGAUCUCGUCUGAUCUCGGAAGUCAAGCAAUCGCGGGCUUGGUUAGUACUUGGAUGGGUGACCGCUUGGGAAUACCAAGUGUGAUAAGCA
rfam:Ciona savignyi cont_38892, whole genome shotgun sequence.